rnacentral:rRNA from 1 species
AUUGAACGCUGGCGGCAUGCUUUACACAUGCAAGUCGGACGAGUGGCGAACGGGUGAGUAAUAUCUCGGAACGUACCGAGUAAUGGGGGAUAACUAAUCGAAAGAUUAGCUAAUACCGCAUACUAUUCGAGUGGCCGAGAUCUGAUUAGCUAGUUGGUGGGGUAAAGGCCUACCAAGGCGACGAUCAGUAGCGGGUCUGAGAGGAUGAUCCGCCAAACGGGAACUGAGACACGGCCCAGACGCCUACGGGAGGCAGCAGUGGGGAAUUUUGGACAAUGGGCGCAAUCCUGAUGCAGCCAUGCGGCGUGUCUGAAGAAGGCCUUCGGGUUGUAAAGUACUUUUGUCAGGGAAGCGGUACCUGAAGAAUAAGCACCGGCUAACUACGUGCCAGCAGCCGCGGUAAUUC